rnacentral:tRNA from 1 species
GCGCCCCUAGCUCAAUGGAUAGAGCGCCGGUCUACGGAACCGGAGGUUGAAGGUUCGAGUCCUUCGGGGCGUA